CUAUGUAUGGAACGGAUAAACGCUGAAGGCAUCUAAGCGUGAAGCCGCCCUCAAGAUAAGAUUUCCCAUUCUUCGGAAGUAAGAUCCCUUAAAGAUAAUGAGGUAGAUAGGUUGGAGGUGUAAGCACAGUAAUGUGUUCAGCUGACCAAUACUAAUAGAUCGAGGGCUUGACCUA
rnacentral:rRNA from 1 species